GAUGAACGCUGGCGGCGUGCCUAAUACAUGCGAGUCGAGCGAACGGACGAGAAGCUUGCUUCUCUGAUGUUAGCGGCGGACGGGUGAGUAACACGUGGAUAACCUACCUAUAAGACUGGGAUAACUUCGGGAAACCGGAUCUAAUACCGGAUAAUAUUUUGAACCGCAUGGUUCAAAAGUGAAAGACGGUCUUGCUGUCACUUAUAGAUGGAUCCGCGCUGCAUUAGCUAGUUGGUAAGGUAACGGCUUACCAAGGCAACGAUGCAUAGCCGACCUGAGAGGGUGAUCGGCCACACUGGAACUGAGACACGGUCCAGACUCCUACGGGAGGCAGCAGUAGGGAAUCUUCCGCAAUGGGCGAAAGCCUGACGGAGCAACGCCGCGUGAGUGAUGAAGGUCUUCGGAUCGUAAAACUCUGUUAGUAGGGAAGAACAUAUGUGUAAGUAACUGUGCACAUCUUGACGGUACCUAAUCAGAAAGCCCCGGCUAACUACGUG
rnacentral:rRNA from 1 species